rnacentral:sRNA from 1 species
GCCGGGUGUGGUGGCUCACGCCUGUAAUCCCAGCACUUUGGGGGGCUGAGGUAGGUGGAUCACUUGAGGUCAGGAGUUCAAGACCAGCCUGGCCAACAUGGUGAGAACCCAUCUCUA